rfam:Ornithorhynchus anatinus chromosome 1, whole genome shotgun sequence.
CCUCUCUCAGGGUGGUACCUGGAGAGUUUCCAGGCCUCUACCAGUUUUGGCUAUGGGAGGGAGAAUCAGGCAGAGGCAUGCCCAUUCCAUUCACUAGCUUGGGCAGCAGCUAGCGAGUGGAAGGCCAUCUGCUACAAAU